GACGAACGCUGGCGGCGUGCUUAACACAUGCCAGUCGAACGGAAAGGCCCUGCUUUUGUGGGGUGCUCGAGUGGCGAACGGGUGAGUAACACGUGAGUAACCUGCCCUUGACUUUGGGAUAACUUCAGGAAACUGGGGCUAAUACCGGAUAGGAGCUCCUGCUGCAUGGUGGGGGUUGGAAAGUUUCGGCGGUUGGGGAUGGACUCGCGGCUUAUCAGCUUGUUGGUGGGGUAGUGGCUUACCUAGGCUUUGACGGGUAGCCGGCCUGAGAGGGUGACCGGCCACAUUGGGACUGAGUGACGGCCCAGACUCCUACGGGAGGCAGCAGGGGGGAAUAUUGCACAAUGGGCGGAAGCCUGAUGCAGCAACGCCGCGUGCGGGAUGACGGCCUUCGGGUUGUAAACCGCUUUCGCCUGUGACGAAGCGUGAGUGACGGUAAUGGGUAAAGAAGCACCGGCUAACUACGU
rnacentral:rRNA from 1 species